GGUCCUGCUGCGGGGGCUUCUGGGAGAGAAACAUGGCGGCGCCCGGGCUGCUGCCCGGCGUGGGCAGGCUCAUUGAGAUGCCCGCCGCGCUGGGGCGCUUGAGCCGAGCUUACAGCAAGUCCCACGCCUUCACGGAGGUUCUGCAGCUGCCAAAAAUGGAACUGACGAAGCUCGUGUUCCCGUUACAGGAACUCCAGCGGCAUCUCCUCCCUGACGCCAAGCCCGACCUUCUUCAACUGAGGAUCUUUGACCCGAGCCUGGAGGCCAUCGCGAGGGCGGAGAGCUUCUUCACGGCCACCCCGCGGAACCGCAUCGAGUACGUCAGCUCGGCGGUGCGCCUGGACCACGCCCCCGACCUCCCCCGCCCGGAGGUGUGUUUUAUAGGCAGAAGCAAUGUUGGAAAAUCCUCUCUAAUAAAGGCUUUGUUUUCAUUGGCUCCAGAGGUUGAAGUCAGAGUCUCCAAAACCCCGGGACACACAAAGAAAAUGAAUUUUUUCAAAGUUGGAAAAUAUUUUACAUUGGUGGACAUGCCAGGUUAUGGCUAUCGAGCACCUGAAGAUUUUGUUGAUAUGGUAGAGACCUAUCUAAAAGAACGAAAGAAUUUGCUGAGAACAUUUUUGUUAGUGGAUAGUGUUGUCGGAAUUCAGAAAGCAGACAAUAUUGCCAUAGAAAUGUGUGAAGAUUUUGCAUUACCUUAUGUAAUGGUGUUAACAAAAAUUGACAAACCUUCCAAGGGACGUCUUUUAAAACAGGUGCUCGAGAUCCAGAAAUUUGUUGACACUAAAACACAAGGAUGUUUUCCUCAGUUGUUUCCUGUAAGCAGCUGAAGAAGUUCAAGAGGAUUUGAAGUCUCACCAUCCUUAUAAACGACUUGACUGUUCUAAUGCCACCAGAAGUGGUUAAAUUGGUAUUCACUAUGGCACUACAGUAGUUUCUAACGUAAUUUACUAGAAGAAUCAGAGGAUCUGAAUUGACUUAUAGAUCUCCAACACCCCGAGCAAAAACCUUCAUUUCCUCACCUAUACAAUGGGGAUAAUACUGCCUACCCCACAAUUACUGUGGGCACGAAGUAGAUCAGCAAAACACACUAUAUAUUUGUGAAAUACAAAAUAAUGGUUUAACCAAAUAAAUACCAGUUUGUUAUCCUUUUCAUGAA